rnacentral:rRNA from 1 species
UGAGGAAUAUUGCACAAUGGAGGAAACUCUGAUGCAGCAACGCCGCGUGGAGGAUGACGCAUUUCGGUGUGUAAACUCCUUUCAAGAGGGAAGAUAAUGACGGUACCUCUUGAAUAAGCACCGGCUAACUCCGUGCCAGCAGCCGCGGUAAUACGGAGGGUGCAAGCGUUACUCGGAAUCACUGGGCGUAAAGGGUGCGUAGGCUGGCUUCUAAGUCAGAUGUGAAAUCCAAUGGCUUAACCAUUGAACUGCAUUUGAAACUGGAAGCCUAGAGUUCAGAAGGGGCAGAUGGAAUUAGUGGUGUAGGGGUAAAAUCCGUAGAUAUCACUAGGAAUAUCAAAAGCGAAGGCGAUCUGCUGGGAUGAUACUGACGCUGAGGCACGAAAGCGUGGGGAGCAAACAG